rnacentral:rRNA from 1 species
UCCUACGGGGCGCAGCAGUGGGGAAUAUUGCACAAUGGGGGAAACCCUGAUGCAGCAACGCCGCGUGAGCGACGAAGGCCUUCGGGUUGUAAAGCUCUGUCUUCGCUGACGAAUAAAUGACGGUAAGCGAGGAGGAAGCCACGGCUAACUACGUGCCAGCAGCCGCGGUAAUACGUAGGUGGCAAGCGUUGUCCGGAAUUAUUGGGCGUAAAGGGUGCGUAGGCGGUCUUUUAAGUGGGAUGUGAAAUACCUAGGCUUAACUUAGGAAUGGCAUUCCAAACUGGAAGACUAGAGUGCAGGAGAGGAAAGUGGAAUUCCCAGUGUAGCGGUGAAAUGCGUAGAGAUUGGGAGGAACACCAGUGGCGAAGGCGACUUUCUGGACUGUAACUGACGCUGAGGCACGAAAGCGUGGGGAGCAAACAGGAUUAGAUACCCUGGUAGA